rnacentral:rRNA from 1 species
UACAGAGGUCUCAAGCGUUGUUCGGAUUCAUUGGGCGUAAAGGGUGCGUAGGUGGCGCUGUAAGUCGGGUGUGAAAUUUCGGAGCUUAACUCCGAAACUGCAUUCGAUACUGCGGUGCUUGAGGACUGGAGAGGAGACUGGAAUUCAUGGUGUAGCAGUGAAAUGCGUAGAGAUCAGUGGAGAGACCGUGGCGAAGGCGGGUCU